CUGACGAGUCCCAAAUAGGACGAAAUGCGCAUCCUGGAU
rfam:Trichobilharzia regenti genome assembly, scaffold: TRE_scaffold0063323